CUCUCCCUUCGCGGCUCGCUUUCUUCCCCUUCGCGUUCCUGGCGAGCAAGCCCCUUCCCUUCCCCCGCCCCUCAUUGUCUCGAAGAGCGUAUUGCCCAAUUUUCUCCGGGCGAAGGAGAAAACUAACUAUGGACGAGGACAAGGUGGCCUCCGCGGCUGCUCCCGCGAACACCACGUAGAAGAGCCGCCGCCGCCGCCCCCUUUCUUUCUCUUUCCUUUCGUCGGGUGGAGCGGGGCUUCCUCCUCCUCCGGGGGCUGCAGCCGCCGCCGCCACCGCCUCUGCCCCGUUGUUCGUGGGCGGCCGGGCGCCGCUUUCUCCGGGGGCGCGCUCCCACGCCCAGCCCAGCCCAGCCAGAUGUGCGACCUGCUCGACUCGCAGCCUCCGGCCGAGCAGAAACUCAGCAGGAUGAAAAAGUUGCGGCGAACUUUGUCGGAGAGUUUCGGCCGACUAGCCUUGAAGAAAGAUGAUAAUGGUGUUGAUGAGAUAUGUGUCACAAAGAUGUCUACACGGAAUUGCCAAGGAAUGGAUUCAGUGAUCAAACCCUUGGACACAAUUCCAGAAGACAAAAAAGUCAGAGUUCAAAGGACACAGAGCACGUUUGAUCCAUUUGAGAAGCCAAAUAAUCAAGUGAAGAGGGUCCAUUCAGAGAACAAUGCCUGCAUUAACUUCAAGACUUCAUCUACUGGGAAAGAAUCUCCUAAAAUCAGACGACAUUCCAGUCCUAGCUCUCCAACAAGUCCCAAGUUUGGAAAGGCAGACUCAUAUGAAAAACUGGAAAAACUAGGGGAAGGCUCAUAUGCCACAGUAUACAAAGGCAAAAGCAAGGUGAAUGGCAAGUUGGUGGCACUGAAGGUGAUAAGACUUCAAGAAGAAGAAGGCACUCCAUUUACAGCCAUCAGGGAAGCUUCUCUUUUGAAAGGUCUAAAACAUGCAAAUAUUGUGUUACUUCAUGAUAUCAUCCACACAAAGGAGACAUUGACACUAGUAUUUGAGUUUGUGCACACUGAUUUAUGUCAGUACAUGGACAAACAUCCAGGAGGACUUCAUCCAGACAAUGUGAAGUUAUUUUUAUUUCAAUUGCUGCGAGGACUUUCGUACAUCCACCAGCGUUACAUUUUGCACAGGGACCUGAAACCCCAAAACCUUCUGAUCAGUGACACUGGGGAGUUGAAGCUGGCAGAUUUUGGACUUGCAAGAGCCAAAUCUGUUCCCAGUCAUACAUACUCUAAUGAAGUUGUUACCUUGUGGUAUAGACCUCCAGAUGUCCUCUUAGGCUCAACAGAAUAUUCCACCUGCCUUGAUAUGUGGGGAGUUGGUUGUAUCUUUGUAGAAAUGAUUCAAGGAGUAGCUGCUUUUCCAGGAAUGAAAGACAUUCAAGAUCAACUUGAAAGAAUAUUUUUGGUACUUGGGACACCAAAUGAAGAUUCAUGGCCUGGAGUUCAUUCUUUACCCCAUUUCAAACUAGAUCGGUUUACACAGUACAGUGCUAAAAACCUUAGGCAAGCCUGGAAUAAGCUAAGCUAUGUGAACCAUGCAGAGGAUCUGGCCUCCAAAUUACUGCAGUGUUUCCCAAAGAACAGAUUGUCAGCACAGGCAGCUCUGAGCCAUGAGUAUUUCAGUGAUCUCCCCCCACGGCUAUGGGAACUAACAGACAUGUCUUCUAUUUUUUCUGUACCGAAUGUAAGAUUACAAGCAGAGGCUGGAGAAAGCAUGAAAGUCUUUGGAAAAAACAAUAUUUAUGGCAAAAGUUUAUCAAAACAUUAAGCACUGAAGAGAAAGUUGGUUUCCCACAAACAAUUCAGGAACAGAUGGACAUUCAAGUGCACAUCAGAAUGACAAUUUCAAGCAAACUCAAGAAAGAAUUCUGCUUGUGGCUGGAGCCAAUGAGAAGCAAGAAUUAAGAUCACAAGACUAGAGGAGAGAAACAAAACCUAAUGAGAGCUCCAAAACUAUGAAGAUACCAUGGUCCUGUUUCUUUUCUCAGAGGUGGAUUUCUGUAACAGGAAAAAUGAUGCUGGCAAGAUCUUGUUCCCAUAUCCCUCUCAGUUUAUUUAAAACCUUGCACGUGUUUUGAUACUUUGUGACUUCAGAAACCUCUGUGAAAACUAAGGGGCUUUUUUUUCUUACUGAUAUGCAGCAUGUUCUUUCUUCUUGGCAUUUUAUGUUUGGUUUUAUUUGGUUUUUCUACUGCAGCGCACCACUCUUGUGAAGAUUUUUAUGCUUUCACCAUCAGUGUCUUUAAUACAUUAAGACAAUACAUUUCGUGUCCAUACACUUCCUCAGUAAUGUCUGUAGAUAAAAGCCAAUCAUGACAUUAAACAACUGGCGUAUAAACAAAUGAGAAGUUCCACGAAUUUUUCAGUUUGUCAUAAAAACAUCUCUUAAGCUUUACUAAAGUUUGCAAGUUGGUUAUGGCACAGUAUCUUACAACUGUGUUCAUUUCUUACUGUUAGGGAAUAUCAUGUUCCACUCUUUAACCAUGGCAAUAAUUUAAGUUAAAACGCUGAAUUUGGGUACUUUGCCUAUGUUGCGUAAUUUGGCAGAUUUCAAAACAGAUCUGCAUAUAUAUACAUAUAUAUAUAUAUAUACAUAUGAUAUUAUUGAUAAAUUCAAAUAUACUACCCCCUUUUUAGAAAAAGGGACUUUUCCUGUUUUUGUGGUUCCAUUUCUACUUUUUCAUAUAGUUUAGUUAAAAAAUAUUUUCUAAGAAGGAAAAUAGAGAUGAUGGAGAAAUGAGUUUACAUUAGGAUAAGCACUAUGGUAUAGAAACUCUAGUUGCUGAAUGAGCCAUUUAAAAAAAACCCUAGUUUUGAAUACUCAUCCAAAUUCCAAAUAUUUGCUCUUCCAAACCAAAGCAUCUUUCCAGUUAUUUUUCUAAGAUACUCUGUUAUCAUUGAAUAAUACUACUUCAAAGAGGAUUUUCCCCAAUAAUUGUUCAAAUUUUUAAAGAUAGGCACAACUAUGAAUUAAUUGGAGGGUCUUUAGUUCUCCUCCUUUUGUGGUAGAAGGGAAGAUGGAACUCAUGUGAAUCUUAAGGACUGUGGCUGCUUUAGCUUGCCUCAUAUCAUCCCUAAUAUGAUUGAUAGCUGUUCAGUUCUAGGAGAUGGGAAAUACCAGAAAACCAAUAAAUGAAUGUCCUUAGAGUGGGGAUUUCUCAGUCAUUUUAUUCAACACAGAAAGCUAUAUUGUCUCCCUAUUACAUCAGCUACCCAAAAAACACCUAUUUUUGUAACACCUUGACUACAGCAUCUAAAGCUUGUUAGAGAAAGGAUAAAGGACCCAUUCUGCAUUUUCUUUCUUAAACUGAUGGCUUAAUAAUAGAUUUGACAGUACUUGAUCUUUCAAAAUACUUACUUUUAGCAUAAGAAAACAAUGGUAAUUCUUGUUCUGCUGUGAUAAUUUUCCUGGUAGUUAAGCAUGUAUCUCUAUUGUGGCCAGGACAGUUUUACUACCUAAGUACUUCUUAGGGUAGUAAAUAUCUACUUUGCUUAAAUAUCUUGAAAUUCAUUUGUAUAUCUGUUAAAACAGAUAAUCACAAAAUCUGAUGGAAAAAUUUGAACAGAACACAAAUGCCUUAACUAUGAUUUGCUAUGAGUUUCAUACUCAAAUUUUAUAAGAAAUUUUAUUUGACAAAUUAGGUGAUAUAUUCAGUUGGCUGUUUCAAGAUGAGGGUCUCUUUGUAAAACAAGUAUCAGUGCUUGCAAAAGUGUGAAGAAUCUUUGAAAAUGUAACAAAGGUUUCAAUUAAGAAAAUGAGGGUAGAUCCUGUAAAUCUCUUACUUUGGCAGCAUAAGGAGGGAUCGAAGUAAUUAUGCCCUGCCUGAAGUGGAUGAUGGUUUGAGGUAGAGAGUGACUCCACUGAUGUGCUCCCUUCCUUGAGCUAAAUGCCUAGCACCUUAGUAUCUACAAUAAAUCAGACAUUCAGGGUUUUUGCGUAGGUUUUUUUAGUGUGUGUGUGUGCUUGCAUGCUUUCAGCACUUCUUUUUUAAAAUAGCCAUUGGUCCCAUUGAACACAUUGACUAAUAUUCCCCCAGUUAUCAUCUUUCAGUCUUAGAGUCUGUUCCCACUGCAAACAUAUCAUUCCAGACAAUAUGUUUUUAAUCCAGGAGUCUUGCUUUAGGGAAAGGAGAAUAGACUUGAGGUCAGGAAAACCCCUGCCUUAGCAUAUCCUCAUUUCCAUCUUCUUCCACACAACAACCCAAAUGAGGGUUCCAGCUGUUUAGCUCAAAGGUCAAUAUAUUGGGAAGGCAUCCUCCCUAUUCAGCACAGACUGAAGUAGAAAACAGUAGCACUCCUUGAGCCCCUUGUUUCUGGAAGCAUGGAGUCCUGUUGCACCUACUCACAUACAAUGAACAUUGUUCCACCCAAAGUGGUAGGCACAGUCAAGGUAGUUUCCUGUACAGGGUGAAGAAAUAAGAGGGAUGCAACCCAGCUCACCAGAUGGCAAAGGGUUUUGGAAUGAUUUCUCAUGAAGUAUGGCAUGCAUAAAACUAAAUAUCUGCAUCCACACAAAUUUCCCAAGAAGAAUCUGUGAUAAAAAGGUUACAUUUGUCUCAGAUCCUUCCCACAGAACUCAGAUGAAUCCAUGUAGAUUUCAAUUCCAGUGUCAUUGUUCACUUGGAUCCUGCCAUAGAAAUCAUUCCAAAAGCAUACAUGAAAAGGAAAUUACUGGUGGGCCUUAAAGAAGUUAAAGUUGGGUUUUCUUUAAGGGAAAGAGAUUUCAACUAAAUUCAAGCCAAAUGAGCUUGACUUUUAUAGUGCUUGUUUUCUUGUUAUUAGGGAAAAAAUAAUUAUGCUGGAAUGCAAGUUAAAAGCUGCAAUUUUAUGAAAAAAUAGCCUAAUGUUAUGCUGGAUCCACAUCAUUAGGCUGAUAGGAAGAAAAAUCCAGUGCACUAUUAACUAAAGUCCACAACUAACUUAGUAAGUAGUGAUUAAGAAAUCCAGUACUUUUUAGAGCACAAGCCAAACCUACAUAGAUUAUAGCCCAAAAUAUUUUCCAACAUCCUGUUUCUGAUUCUGUUGUUGAAUUUCAAGGUAGGGUAAAGUUUUCAGAGCUUCCUGCAUAGCUAUUUUACCUUUUAAUUAUUCCUUUAAGAGUCACUCAUACAAAAUCAUUAAUUCCCAGAACUCAGUUCUGAAGAUGUAAAUGCAAUUCAGGAUGGGUUUGAACACUACAUAACAUGGGAGUUUACAUUUUGCAACUACCUCCAUCAUUAGCUGUGCAAGGUCUCUUUGCAUCUGAACUUUAUGCACUUGACUGCAGCAGGAAAUGGGGAUGUUGAACUUUGGACACAAUAAAGCCCUAAAAACCAAGUAGCCAUGUCACUUGCACUUCCUGUAUUCCCCAUAUUAUGUAAUGCCUGAAGCUCAUCUGAGCUUUUCAGUAUUACAGCAAGAGUCAAGAUUUGGUACAAUUCUUGUCCCCCUCCUAGGUACUUAAAAGGACACCAUGUAUAUCCAUAGUUUUCUGUGUAUACAUCAAUGAUUGUGGCCUAAUUCUUAUAUUACUGAAGCAACAUGGUUCCCGUGCCUUUCCAGUUAAAUUUGAAGGGAUAGUCACAUGGAAUCUUGUUAGUCCCACGUGAAUAGGCAUAACUACUGCCUGUGUAAUCCAACCAGUCCACAUUAUUCUUUGCUUCAAAUGCCACCAGAGCAGUCAAAGAACCAUCAAUGAGAUAGUCAGUGGAAAAGAAGCAGCAACAAUGCUGUUUGAUAACAUAUGGAUUAGGUCUGUAUGGUUGGUAAUAGUAGUGAGACAGCCUUCCUGUUCCUUACAAGUCCCUUAAACACACCACUGCUUAUUUCAAUGGACUUACCUAUGAAGAUAGGAGAUUCUGCAAUUGUAAGGAGAGGGAGAGUUGUCAGUUUGAAGUGAAAGUUGGAUUGCAUCAUAUGAGAAAUAGGGUGGUAAUCAAUAUUACCAUAAGUUUCCUUAAGUUAAACCAGGAGAUGGUAGCACUUUGCUUCAAUGAUUGUCUCAUUCAGAGCAACCCUACCAAACAUACAGAACAGCUGAGCCACAUAAUAAUAUUGCUGUUACUCGACUACAUAGUAUCUUCUGAUUCUAUUUGUUAUUUUAUGAAUCAGUCGGUAUACCACCACAGGGAAUGUUAAUGCAUCAUGGCUGGAGAGACUUGGGGUUCAAGUCUUCCUUCUAAUGUGUAGAUGGACUUUGCACAGGCAUUUCCUAUUCAUCCUGGCUUAAUUUAGAACAAGCGUUACCCCUCUCAUCCAUGAGGGGAAAUAGAUCUUGAUGUGCAGAUACCAGCCUACGUGUGGUUUUAUAAUCUGAUAUAAUUAAUUGCGUUUAGACUGUAUGGAAUGGCACUGAAUAUGGACACCGUAUAAAUAAAAUUGUGUUCCAUUGUUGACAAUAACCAUGGCCUUCUCUCUUGGCAUAAAGAUGUGGAGGUAAUUCUAUAUGCUGUUGCCUUGCAAUAUUCUUAAAAGCAAAAAUUGAAAUGAUGCACUAAGAAAUUCCCCAAUCCCGCUCCCCAAAAACCUGCACUUCUACAGUGCUACACAAAAUCUUCCCUUACUGGGGUUCUUUAUAUGAGGCACAAAAAGGUGCUCUUUUUAACAGGGGUUUGGUACUCAAACAAUGUUAAUAUUAAGUAUGUAUACAUACAUAUAGCCACACACUUUAGAAUGUCGCUUAGUAAGCAGUAUGGUUAAAUAAAUGUUACAUUGUUUUCAAUGUGUAAUGUGUCUGUAUUAUGAAAGAUGUAAUGGUUUGUCAGGUGUUAACUGUUUUCAUGUAAUAUGAUAUUUAAUAAAGUGUAACAGGA